UUCAAUAUGGCAGACUAGUGCUAUGAAUUUAAGCUUCAUUUAUAAAGUUUAUCUUUUGUUGCAU
rnacentral:tRNA from 1 species